GCUGGCGGCAGGCUUAACACAUGCAAGUCGAACGGUAGCACAUAGGAGUUUGCUCCUUGGGUGACGAGUGGCGGACGGGUGAGUAAUGCUUGGGAAUCUGGCUUAUGGAGGGGGAUAACUACUGGAAACGGUAGCUAAUACCGCGUAAUGUCUUAGGACUAAAGGGUGGGACCAUUUGGCCACCUGCCAUAAGAUGAGCCCAAGUGGGAUUAGGUAGUUGGUGAGGUAAAGGCUCACCAAGCCCGCGAUCUCUAGCUGGUCUGAGAGGAUGACCAGCCACACUGGAACUGAGACACGGUCCAGACUCCUACGGGAGGCAGCAGUGGGGAAUAUUGCACAAUGGGGGGAACCCUGAUGCAGCCAUGCCGCGUGAAUGAAGAAGGCCUUCGGGUUGUAAAGUUCUUUCGGUGACGAGGAAGGCGAUUGUUUUAAUAGAACAGUCGAUUGACGUUAAUCACAGAAGAAGCACCGGCUAACUCCGUGCCAGCCGCCGCGGUAAU
rnacentral:rRNA from 1 species